AUCUAUCUGAAGAGUCCUAAAUAGGACGAUACGCGCAUCCCUAGUU
rnacentral:hammerhead_ribozyme from 1 species